GGAAACUUAGAAACUACCGUUGGAUUGAGAAAUGGACGUCUAAGAUUCAUCCACGUCACCAUGAGUUAAAAUUUAACUCGCCAGAUUCACUAAUGAGUUAAACACAUUUCACUCAGGAGUCAACAUUUUCACACUCAUGGUGAUGUGGACAAGUCUCGGCAGUCCAUUUCUCGCAUCCAACGCUAGUUUCUCAAGUUCCC
rnacentral:pre_miRNA from 1 species